rnacentral:misc_RNA from 1 species
GAAAUGCGAUAAGUAAUGUGAAUUGCAGAAUUCAGUGAAUCAUCGAAUCUUUGAACGCACAUUGCGCCCCCUGGCAUUCCGGGGGGCAUGCCUGUUCGAGCGUCUCCGGGACGAAUCCUCGCGCGAGUGAAAGCGCGGUCCUGGCUGCGGUGGCGUGCCCCGGGCGGCGGCCACCUCGCUGGAAUCCAUGGGCGGACGCCUGCCGCGUGGCCGAGCGUGAUAUGACGCAUUGGCGCUCGUGCGCGGCGAGGCUGCCAGCCCUGGCCCGUCCGUCGGGCGGGGGAGGGCAAGACAUUGGAACUCCUCGAAUCAGGUAGGGAUACCCGCUGAACUUAA